rnacentral:rRNA from 1 species
AUUGAACGCUGGCGGCAGGCCUAACACAUGCAAGUCGAGCGAGCGGCGGACGGGUGAGUAAUGUAUGGGGACUGCCAGAUGGAGGGGGAUAACUACUGGAAACGGUGGCUAAUACCGCAUACAGUCGGAUUGCCCAGAUGGGAUUAGCUAGUAGGUAAGGUAAUGGCUUACCUAGGCGACGAUCCCUAGCUGGUCUGAGAGGAUGAUCAGCCACACUGGAACGGAGACACGGCCCAGACUCCUACGGAGGCAGCAGUGGGGAAUAUUGCACAAUGGGCGCAAGCCUGAUGCAGCCAUGCCGCGUGUAUGAAGAAGGCCCUAGGGUUGUAAAGUACUUUCAGUCGGGAGGCGUUACCGACAGAAGAAGCACCGGCUAACUCCGUGCCAGCAGCCGCGGUAAUUC